rnacentral:rRNA from 1 species
GAUGAACGCUGGCGGCGUGCCUAAUACAUGCAAGUCGAGCGAACGGACGAGAAGCUUGCUUCUCUGAUGUUAGCGGCGGACGGGUGAGUAACACGUGGAUAACCUACCUAUAAGACUGGGAUAACUUCGGGAAACCGGAGCUAAUACCGGAUAAUAUUUUGAACCGCAUGGUUCAAUAGUGAAAGACGGUCUUGCUGUCACUUAUAGAUGGAUCCGCGCUGCAUUAGCUAGUUGGUAAGGUAACGGCUUACCAAGGCAACGAUGCGUAGCCGACCUGAGAGGGUGAUCGGCCACACUGGAACUGAGACACGGUCCAGGCUCCUACGGGAGGCAGCAGUAGGGAAUCUUCCGCAAUGGGCGAAAGCCUGACGGAGCAACGCCGCGUGAGUGAUGAAGGUCUUCGGAUCGUAAAACUCUGUUAUUAGGGAAGAACAAAUGUGUAAGUAACUGUGCACAUCUUGACGGUACCUAAUCAGAAAGCCACGGCUAACUACGUG